rnacentral:lncRNA from 1 species
UCCCUCCUAGCUUUUGUGAGUUUCUUGUUUGUUGGGUGUUUAUUCUUUUGUACAGUUAUUUACUUUCAGCAUUUACCUACUUUAUCUUAUUGCAUUAUGUACAUAUGAUUGUUGUAUCUGCUGUUGGGUGGGUUGUUUGUUGGGAUGGGUUGUUCUAUGAGAGGUAAGCCCACUACCCAGGCUUGAGCGUACACACAGGUUUUAGAGUGGAUAGUCAUGAGGCUUGCGUAGCAUGUU